UCCAAUAUCUACAGCCGAGGUUCAUUCUUCUUAUUGAAUAACUAAUCGAGGGUCCUCCAUAUUUCGUGGGCUGAUUUGCAGCUUAUAAUAUGAUCAAAUAAACUGGAGGCGAUGAAUUUCUUCAAGAUGAACUCCGCCUUCCCAUUAGUCUGCUUCCACUUCUUAUAUGCACCAUCAUUUUCCGAUUCGUCGAUAGGAGGACUUGUGUUACUUCCGUUGACAACCACAAGUCCCCACCCACAAGGUAUGAUUCUAUAUAUGUCUUCCAUACCUUGUAAUUGGACUGAUUUAACAACUCCAUGCCUAGUUCAUUACCAUGACCGCUAAAACCCAUAGAGAGAAACAAGUUGAAUUUAUCACUAACCCGAUCUUGAAAUAACAUUAAGAAGUCAACGUGUGGCUAUGACUCUGAUACCAAGUAGAGAAUAGUAAAAAAAAGGUGUAGUUGAAGAGACCUUCUACUAGCCCAAGAUCGUUAACUAAGAUCGAAAGAUUCAACUACGAAGAGGAAGCUAGAAAGAUGAAGGAAGAUAUUGAAAGAAGAACUUCGAUUUGGAAGAAGAUUACUUGGAUAUGCUUUGUAUUGGAU
rnacentral:lncRNA from 1 species